rnacentral:rRNA from 1 species
UACGUAGGGCGCAAGCGUUGUCCGGAAUUAUUGGGCGUAAAGAGCUCGUAGGCGGCUUGUCACGUCGGGUGUGAAAGCCCGGGGCUUAACCCCGGGUCUGCAUUCGAUACGGGCUAGCUAGAGUGUGGUAGGGGAGAUCGGAAUUCCUGGUGUAGCGGUGAAAUGCGCAGAUAUCAGGAGGAACACCGGUGGCGAAGGCGGAUCUCUGGGCCAUUACUGACGCUGAGGAGCGAAAGCCAGGGGAGCAAACGGG